ACAGUCCAGCUUCCGUAUAGUUGAUCUUCGGUAUGAAAGCUCAAGUUGCGGGUUGAUCUACGUCCGCUCGCGACUUUAAUUUAAUAAGUUGAUGUAACCUAGCGGUCCUAGAGUCUGCCUAUCUAAAGCUAAAGCAGAUUGGUCUGCCUUGAAAUUCGCUAAAUUCGCUUUAGCUCUUGCGUAAGCAGAUGCGUAAAAACUGUCUUCCUUACGCGGAUGCUUGCAACUCCGACAUAUAAGUUACUACAUGCGGCAUAUUACGCGCCAAAAACGAGCAGAAAAGCCGGCAACGAUUUCAGCCACUAAAAACAGCGAUGUACAGAUAAUCAUUGGGUCCUUGGUUACACGCAGCCGCACCAAUUCCCAUUUACUACCAGCGGCAGGGGUAUUUAUUGUGCGCAUUGGCCGUUCAGUAGUAGUAUACCAUUUCGCCGGCAUCCGCUGUUGCUCGCAGCUCCUCAGGAAUCAACAGCCGCUUUGCUUGGGGAAUCUGGGAUUGACUGGGAUAGAAGCAUUCACACUUCGAAUGCCGACGUCCACCGGCCGACUCAAGUGGCCUGAUGUCAUAAUGUCGUGUGGACGGAGAGUGUUGUGCGAACGAUGGACGACCGGCGCUACUAGCUUAAAAAGAGUGUAAGACCUGUCCUUGCGCAUCACCAAAAGCUGGAGACUGUCCACAUCCAGAAGAGCGACAAAGAGACUGGGAAAGUUUUAAGACGGUUUAUCUUCGCGAUAUUUGACGAAAGACAUUUGAUCGCGGCAGUUCACCGCAAACGAAAUCGAUGCGAUUAUUUUUCACAUGUUUUCUGGUUUUCUUAUGUUUUUUUUGCUUGCUUAUGUUUUCCUGCUUUUAUGUUAAGGUUUUUUAUGUGGUCUUUAAUUUUUGUUGUCUGAUGUUCACUUAAAUGUUAUUAUGCUUCCUCUUUCAUUCAGGUUUCUUAAGUUUUCUUUAAUUUUCUUAGAGUUUUCCUCAAAACGGCCUCGCGAAGAAAUGUCUAGCGGCGUGCUGUCCUGCCGGCGAAAUGCCCCGUGACGAUAUGUCGCGUGGCGAGAUGAAUUGCCGCUAAACGUCUACGAUCAAAUGUCCUUCGACUAAUUGUCCUAGGCGAAAUGUCGCGGUGCCCUUUAUUCAGCUUUACAGGCCUCCGCAAACUUUGAGAAGUACUAUCCAGUGCAUCCGCACAUGUACAGCACAUGUCGGCGAUCCAUGCAAAACACUGUAAUGGUCAUGGCAGACAAACCCUGCGGCACUCAUGCUUCUGGUCAGCACAUGCCA